rnacentral:lncRNA from 10 species
UCCUGAUUCCCAGCCCAGUGCUCUCUGCAGCCCCUGGCAGGGUUCCCUAGUACCUGAAAUGUGUUAUAAUCAACAUGUAGUCUCACCAGAUCAUUACAUUGGUGUAAUGCCUCGACCAAGCAGUCCCAGCCAUCCCAGGGAACCUUGCUGAUGCGUUGGAAAGAGCUUUCUGGUACAGGGCAGAACUGAUUUGCCCUGGGAUGUUCCCUCCCUCCUCUGCCUACGAUGGGUAGAGACCUACUGAUCUAUUUCCUGAAUGUCUAUCAUAAGGCGAUAUGUUCUUAGCUAUUUGUCUUUGCCUUAUCUUCAAAAAUUAAGAGAAAGGUAUGCCUGACUGCCUCCAUUUAAUAAGAAGACAGAUGGACAGCUAGAGGAUGGGAGGAUAGGAAGGCAGUCACAGGUAUGGUUGAGGUUAGGGCAGGCUUCCAUUCAUCCAAGCAUCAUGGACAAAUUCUCCAGAACUUGGAUUCAAAGUCCUUACUUGGAGAGCCCAUUUUGUUCUCUUCCACUCUCCAUCCUUUGAGGUGAGAAACAAAACUUGCUCUUUGUAUUGAAACCUCAAAUUGGCUAUUGCCUUGGAAAUUCUGCCCUGCUUCCUCUCUUUAAUCAUUAGUAUCGUAUUUAAGCUCCGUCAUCCCCUGCAGUUUUAGGAACUAGCAAGAUGUCCUCCAUGAGAUAGAGAUCUUACAGAUGCAGUAGCUUAUCAGACAAGCCUAUUCCUUGGCAGAGAGCCACACCACCCCGAGAGUGUGGAAAAUAGUGUUUCCAUCUGAAACACUCUGCUCCAUUGCCAGACACCACUGACACUGGGCAGGUGGAUUUUGGGAGAACCUCUGUGUGUGUGUGUGUGUGUGUGUGUGUGUGUGUGUGUGUGUCUCUCUAUGUGUGUGUCUGGAAAUGAGUAUUUUUCAUUAAUUUGGGGGUGGAGGUGGAGAGGCACCAGAGG